GGGUUGUUUGGGGUUUGGGAAGAAAAAGAAGAGAGAGAAAAAACCGAGAUCGGUGUCUUCCGUUGAAGAAGAUGAGCAGAUGUGGGGAUUCAAUAAGGAUUGUGAUUGAGGGCUGUGUGUGAGAGAGUAUUCUGGUUAAAAACCAAAAAAGAGAGAAAAAAAUAUUUUAUAUGUCAGUUGUUUUCACUUAUGCUUUUCGUUUAUUUCAAGAUGAAAUAAGUCAAUUACACAAAUUACACAAAAUUAUGAUCUGGUUUAUUUUUCCAACGAUUGCCUAAGAGGAUUCACUUUUAUUCUCAUAAUCUUUUUGGGUGAGUUUAGCAUUUUUGUGAAGAAUUUUAGCCUUGGAAAGCCUUGGCCUACAUAGUGGGUGUGAACAGGCAGGUCAUCCUAUCAUAAAACCCCUCACAUCUCUUCUCCCAUAACACUCAAAAAGUGAAGCAUCUCAUGCCGACACCGAGUCACCGACAGCCACUAUCUUGAUAACCAUGGGCCAAACUUCUCCCCAUUUCCGGCGACCAUAUCCACCAUAAAUGAACCCUUUUGGGUAAUUGGUAAAAAAGUAUUGUUAGAAUAGACAACUCACCAAACCUACUAUCAUAAAUAAAGCAUGUAACUCACAUUUUGUUUGCCCCAAUUGUUUUAUUUAAUUUAUGUAGUG
rnacentral:lncRNA from 1 species